AAUCUUUGAACGCACAUUGCGCCCUCUGGUAUUCCGGGGGGCAUGCCUGUUCGAGCGUCAUUACAACCCUCAAGCUCUGCUUGGUAUUGGGCUCGCCCUUCAGGGCUUGCCUCAAAGUCAGUGGCGGCUACCGUCCGACCUUCAGCGCAGUACUAUUCGUCGCUGUUAGGGAAGGCCUACAACCCGUCAUCACAACCCCCACUUUACAAGGUUGACCUCGGAUCAGGUAGGGAUACCCGCUGAACUUAAGCAUAUCAAUAAGCGGAGGAAAAGAAACCAACAGGGAUUGCCUCAGUAACGGCGAGUGAAGCGGCAAAAGCUCAAAUUUGAAAGCUGGCUCCUUCGGGGUCCGCGUUGUAAUUUGUAGAGGAUGCUUCGGGCGCGGCUCCGGUCUAAGUUCUCUGGAACGAGACGUCAUAGAGGGUGAGAAUCCCGUAUGUGACCGGCUGCCUGUGCCCAUGUGAAGCUCCUUCGACGAGUCGAGUUGUUUGGGAAUGCAGCUCAAAAUGGGAGGUGUACUCCUUCUAAAGCUAAAUAUUGGCCAGAGACCGAUAGCGCACAAGUAGAGUGAUCGAAAGAUGAAAAGCACUUUGGAAAGAGAGUUAAACAGUACGUGAAAUUGUUGAAAGGGAAGCGCUUGCAAUCAGACUUGCGCGGCGUCGAUCAACCUGGGUUCUCCCUGGUGCACUCGGCGCCGCUCAGGCCAGCAUCAGUUUCGGCGGUGGGAUAAAGGCUGAGGGAACGUGGGUCACCUCGGUGACCGUUAUAGCCCUCGGUGCAAUGCCGCCUGCCGGGACUGAGGACCGCGCU
rnacentral:rRNA from 1 species